rnacentral:tRNA from 1 species
GGCUCGUUGGUCAAGAGGUUAAGACAGCCAAAGGGGGCAGACUGUAAAUCUGUUGUCAUCGACUUCGGUGGUUCGAAUCCACCAUCCUCCACCA